AUCCCAUGGUGAGGGCAUUUUUGUAGUAACUCUUUGAAUCUUUCCCAUGCCUCAUAUAAGGAUUCAUCAUUCAAUUGUUGGAAAAUAGUUAUCUCAUUCCUCAACUU
rfam:Gossypium arboreum cultivar AKA8401 contig_16407_3, whole genome shotgun sequence.